CCUACGGGUGACAGCAGUGAGGAAUAUUGGUCAAUGGGCGCGAGCCUGAACCAGCCAAGUAGCGUGAAGGAUGACUGCCCUACGGGUUGUAAACUUCUUUUAUAAAGGAAUAAAGUGAGGCACGUGUGCCUCUUUGUAUGUACUUUAUGAAUAAGGAUCGGCUAACUCCGUGCCAGCAGCCGCGGUAAUACGGAGGAUCCGAGCGUUAUCCGGAUUUAUUGGGUUUAAGGGGAGCGUAGAUGGGUUGGUAAGUCCGUUGUGAAAGUUUGCGGCUCAACCGUAAAAUUGCAAUUGAUACUGGCAGUCUUGAGUACAGGUGAGGUAGGCGGAAUUCGUGGUGUAGCGGUGAAAUGCUUAGAUAUCACGAAGAACUCCGAUGGCGAAGGCAGCUUACUAAACUGCAACUGACAUUGAUGCUCGAAAGUGUGGGUAUCAAACAGGAUUAGAUACCCCAGUAGUC
rnacentral:rRNA from 1 species